GAAAGCCUUCUUCUUUGGUAAUAGUCAUUGUCUCAGUGAUUGGCAUUCUGCGUGGUGAACAGCAGGACCUAGACUGACCUUUGGCAUUGGGGUAACAGUGGCUGAUGCUACUGGUGGAGGAACCACACCUUGAGAAGCACUGAUCUAGGCACCUUCCACUCCUCUCAGUCUAUAGAUGGGAAAAUGGAAACUCGGAGAGAGGGAAGAAAAGAACCAGGCUUUAUUCUGCAGAAUAAAACAACACAGAUGCUGGUGAAUGCACUGUCAGCCCAUGCCUGCCAGCUGGGACCAACAAUAGGAGAGGAGGCACUGGCUGCAUCGCUAACAGAUUUCCAAGAACGCUAUGGGCAGCCAAAAAAGCCAUUUGGGCUUGUUUCUUUUUCCUCUGUUGCCUUUCUGAGAGAUAAAGAGGCUGAUGGAUCAUAAAUGGAGAUAUGAAUUUGAUAACAUUUGGAAAGAGGUUAAUGGAAACCAACGUACAAACUACAGAAUAGGAGAACACGGCAGAUUUCUAAAUGCCAAUAGCAUUUAGAAGCUGCUCUUAAAGAAAAUUUGAAGGUGAGCAGGCGGUGGGCAGAGGAUCUGAAGCAGCUGCAAGGGCCUCACAUGAGUUUGGAAAUGUCUUCCUAAUGUGAUGGAUCCUGGCAUCAUUCCACGCAGACGCCAGGUAGGUGUCCCUGUCCACAGCUCUCUGAGCUCCUGGGAUAAUUUCAAAACAGCAGAGAGUGAGGGCAUGUGCAUCAUUUGAGCACAUCAUAGAGGGCACCACUGAUUCGCUGCACUGGAAGUUUGUUUGCUCUAUGUGAAAUCUCUUAUGUCUGGCCUAGAAGCCUGCAUCAAGGAACUGGGAAACACCACCGGCUCCCUCUGUGAGUGGCAACCAUGAAAUCCACCCUCCAGUGGCCUCUUGUGGACUGUGGACUAACUUCCUUCAGGGGUCCCAGGAAGUCCUAGGGAAGUGGAAACUCCCUUCCAUAUCCCACUUCAAGACUCAGCCAUUGUGCAGAAGAGGCCAAUAGCAAGACCCCAAUUUAGUUCCAUGCCUGAGGAGUUCAGCCUAAAAUCCUGAAGUUGCACAGGGUUUUACUGUCUUAUUCCAUUCUCUCAACAAUGCUGUUUCAUUCGCGAGGACAAUGGCACUUGGAGAGAUUGAGUGACUUCCUCAGGUCUCACCAAUUGUAAGGAGCAGGAUCAGUGUGGAAAUGGAUGUGGACGCGGUGCUGCUGCCUGAGAUUAGCAGGAAGCAAUUCUUUUCCCAUUUGGAGAGACCCCGGCUUUGUUGGGCCAGGAGAUGGUUUUGCAGCAGCAGAAGACUAUGAACUGGGCUUUGGGAGAUAGGAUCUCUGGUUGUAUUCUGGCUAUCCACACUCUGAAAGAGGACCGUGACAGAGAAUUUGAGUAUCCUACCAAUAUACCUACAAAAGGAUGAAAGAAGAUUUGGAGUCAAGGGAAAACAAGGGCAAUAAAAUAGAAGCUUACCACCUGCUCUCAUACAGUUGCUAGAAGAGGACUGCAUAUUUGGUUCUAAGUUUCUGGAAGAUAAAGCCAAAAUAGAAACACAACUCAUUAUAAAAUUUUGGUGUAUCCAUAAAAUAAAAACAAAUGACCUGUUUGAGAAAACUCUUUCUGAGUUUGAGCUCUAAAAGGAACUUCUCUAUGGAAUCCUUAGAAUAUGAGAAGGCUGUGAUAUAGGGGAGAAACCCCUUGACAUUCCUAUAUUGGGUUUAGGUCUAAUUUCACUCAGUAGUUUUUAAAUGUUACUCCUUGUAGACAGAUGAUGAGACGCCAAAGUACAGCUGAGUGAAAGCGGUUCCUUUGAAAACUAAAGGCUGUAAAAACAAGGCUGUGGAUCAUGUUGUUUCAGUUCUUUAUAGAUUUUUUAAACUGAAUUUUGCAUCUGUGUACAUGAAGAAUAAAUUGUAGAAUAUCUAAGGAAAUGGAUGGGCUGCUUAUCUUUUAGAACCUCCAUAAAUUAUUUAUUGUAAGUAUGUUUGAUAAGGAUUGUACAGCUGAGAGUUCAAGGUUGCAUUUUUUUCCCCAGCAAGAACCAAAAGUGCAGAUAACAUGCAGCCAAUUAAGGACAAAUCUGUAUGGUUUGUCAAUCAAUCUGUCAGGAUGUCCCUGAAUUGUAGCACUUAUCACUUGGUAUUAUAGACAUCUGUGUCCCUGGCAUAACUGCAUCCUCUUCAAGGGCAGGAAUUGCUUCUUUUCCAUUUUUGCACUCUAGCAUCCAGCAUUAUGUUUGAGACCUAGCAUCUAUAUGAGAGACUUUGUUGAACGGAAUCAAUUGAAAGGCUUCCCAUUAUCAUGCAGUACUACUUGACAAAGAUCAGAACCCUGAGCAAUCAAGGGCAGGAAACAUAGGCUAGCUGAGCUUUGAAGGAAGUGAAAAGAAAAAGAGGCAGCAAAGAUGGGAACAUGGAGGACAGUCUGAGAAAACAAGCUCAGGGUUGAAGGGGGUGUUCCAGUGAAGGGGUGAUGAGUGGGACCUCACACAUGGAGCAGAUAACAUUGGUGCAUCAGUUGAUUUAAAUGAGCAGAAUGGAAAGUGUCUAAAAGAGAGAUGUGGAAAUGAGUAGAAACAUCCCUUUCCUGUUGGGCCAGCUAUUGUCUAUGGUUAGUCCUUUUCCCAUCCUUAUUUCCUCUCCUCUGAAUUGCAAGUUGCUGGAAACAUGAGAAGUGCAUUCCUUGCUCCCUUGGUUACUGGGCUUCAGUUAGCAUUUGCCAAUGAGGGUGAGCACUCAUGGGAGACUGGAAAGUGGUAGAAAGGGAAAGCCAUUCAGCUGGCUGUGACAGUGGCAGCAGCGGGCAGUACCGUGGGCUCCAACAGCAUUGGUGGUGGCUCCAGCAUCAUCACUGGGAGCUUGGGCUCCUGGGUUCCUGCUCAGCAGCUAUGGUCAGUACCUUCUGAGAUGGCCUCCUCUGAUCCUCACCUCUUGGUAUUCAUGGCCUUGUGAAAUCCCCUUUGCUUGAGUAACUUGCUGCCAACCAAUAGAAUAUGGCAAUGUUGAGGGUUGCUACCUUUCUGACUAGGUUGCAAAUGAUUGUGACUUCUGUCUUGCUGGCAGGCUCUCUCUAUUUGCCUUUUGGUUUGUGUGCUCUGAGGAUGCAAACUGCCAUGUUCGUGAGACCUGCAUGGCGAGGAAUUGAGGGCAGACUCUGUCCAACAGCCAGUGAGAAACUGAGGUCCAACAGCCUACACGGAGCUGAAUCUUACCAAUAACUACAUGAACUUGAAAGUGUAUCCUUCCCUUCAGAUGAGUGUAGCCUGAGUGACACCUUAACUGAAGCCUAUGAGAGGCCCUGAAGCAGAGGAAGGACCCAGCUAGCUCACACCUAGAUUUCUGAUGCAUAGAAACUGUGAGAUAGCAUGUGUUAUUUUAAGCCAGUUUUGAGAUGAUUUGUUAUACAAUAGCAAUAGAUAACAAAUAUGAUGGCAGAGCUCUGUUCCAACAGCAGUAGCAAGCGUGUGCUUGCCGACUCUGGAUCACUCCACAUUCACCUCUUUGCUUCUACAGCUAUGGGACAAUAGCAGCAGCGUCCUACAGUUGCCAAUUUCUAGGUAAUGCCAUUUUCCACUUGACCUGUGUUUUCAAAACCUUUGUCACCAUUUUCCUAUAUUAAAUUCCUUCAUAAUAACAGAAGAGUGGCUAACAUAUGCACACAACUAUUUUUCUUGAUAGGGAGAUAAAGAGAGCAUUGCUGUAUAUUAAAUGUAGUUAUGUCUUUUUAGAUGUUUAAGAAAAUGAAAUGCACCUUUUUUCAAGUGAAUAAAUGUUUGCCUCUCUGUA
rnacentral:lncRNA from 1 species